rnacentral:rRNA from 1 species
ACGAACGCUGGCGGCGCGCCUAAAACAUGCAAGUCGAACGAGAGAGAGGGAGCUUGCUUCCUUGAUCGAGUGGCGAACGGGUGAGUAACGCGUGAGGAACCUGCCUCAAAGAGGGGGACAACAGUUGGAAACGACUGCUAAUACCGCAUAAGCCCACGACCCGGCAUCGGGAAGAGGGAAAAGGAGCAAUCCGCUUUGAGAUGGCAUCGCGUCCGAUUAGCUAGUUGGUGAGGUAACGGCCCACCAAGGCGACGAUCUGUAGCCGGACUGGUAGGUUGCACGGCCACAUUGGGACUGAGACACGGCCCAGACUCCUACGUGAGGCAGCAGUGGGGAAUAUUGCACAAUGGGGGAAACCCUGAUGCAGCGACGCCGCGUGGAGGAAGAAGGUCUUCGGAUUGUAAACUCCUGUUGUUGAGGAGGAUAAUGACGGUACUCAACAAGGAAGUGACGGCUAACUACGUGCCAGCAGCCGCGGUAA